GCGCACCAGGCGAGAAUUUUUCACAAUGGGCGCAAGCCUGAUGGGGUGGCGCCGCGUGGGGGAUGAAUGGCUUCGGCCCGUAAACCCUGUCAUUUGCGAUCAAACCUCAUUAUUUAAAAGAUGAUGAGCUGAUAGUAGCGAAAGAGGAAGGGACGGCUAACUCUGUGCCAGCAGCCGCGGUAAUACAGAGGUCCCAAGCGUUGUUCGGAUUCACUGGGCGUAAAGGGUGCGUAGGUGGUGAGGUAAGUCGGAUGUGAAAGCUCGGAGCUCAACUCCGAAAUGGCAUUGGAAACUACCUUGCUCGAGGGUUGGAGGGGGGACUGGAAUACUUGGUGUAGCAGUGAAAUGCGUAGAUAUCAAGUGGAACACCAGUGGCGAAGGCGAGUCCCUGGACAACUCCUGACACUGAGGCACGAAAGCUAGGGGAGCAAACAGGAUUAGAUACCCCUGUAGU
rnacentral:rRNA from 1 species